rnacentral:rRNA from 1 species
AAUCAACGCUGGCGGCGUGCCUCAGACAUGCAAGUCGAACGAUUAAAGCUCUCUUCGGAGAGUGUAUAGAGUGGCGCACGGGUGAGUAACACGUAAGUAAUCUACCUUUGAGUGGGGAAUAACAAUCGGAAACGAUUGCUAAUACCGCAUAAUGCAGCGGCAUCGCAAGAUGACAGUUGUUAAAGGAGCAAUCCGCUUAAAGAGGAGCUUGCGGCAGAUUAGCUAGUUGGUAAGGUAAUGGCUUACCAAGGCUACGAUCUGUAACCGGUCUAAGAGGACGGUCGGUCACACUGACACUGAAUAACGGGUCAGACUCCUACGGGAGGCAGCAGUCGGGAAUUUUGGGCAAUGGGCGAAAGCCUGACCCAGCAACGCCGCGUGAAGGAUGAAGUAUUUCGGUAUGUAAACUUCGAAAGAAUAGGAAGAAUCAAUGACGGUACUAUUUAUAAGGUCCGGCUAACUACGUGCCAGCCGCCGCAGU